rnacentral:rRNA from 1 species
UACAGAGGUGCGAGCGUUAAUCGGAAUUACUGGGCGUAAAGCGCGCGUAGGCGGCUUGCAAGUCGGGUGUGAAAUCCCCAGGCUUAACCUGGGAACUGCAUUCGAGACUGCAUUGCUAGAGUAUGGGAGAGGGAAGUGGAAUUUCCGGUGUAGCGGUGAAAUGCGUAGAUAUCGGAAGGAACAUCAGUGGCGAAAGCGACUUCCUGGACCAAUACUGACGCUCAUGUGCGAAAGCGUGGGGAGCAAACAGGAU